UCCAUGCUUCAAUCAUUCAACGGCUGGACUUCUCCUUGGAAAUUGCACUGAUCGGUUGCCUGCUCUGGUCAUUGGAAGCUAAUUCAUACUGUUGUUUACUUCUAAUUUUGAGGACUCUCCAUAAAGAAAACCAAAGAUUGAGACUUUCAUAUGAAGCCAAUGCAAAGUUGCUGCGUGACUCGAGAAUUUUUCAACAGAGGUUUCAAGAGUGUAGCAUUAACUUCCUUGUUGAGGAGGAGGAUAAACUGAUUGUUGAUGCUUCUCUGUAUGAAUGCAACUGCCAAAUCUGACGACAAGGAGGAUAAUGAGGAAAAGGAAAUUAAUUUGAGAAAAAUUGUUUUAAGCCGGUUCUUAGAGAAAUGACAUAGUUGAUUCUACAUGUGUGCUUUAUCAUUCAAAA